CCCUUAGAUGUUCUGGGCCGCACGCGCGCUACACUGAUGCAUUCAACGAGCCUAUCCUUGACCGACAGGUCCGGGUAAUCUUUGAAUCUGCAUCGUGACGGGGAUAGAUUAUUGCAAUUAUUAAUCUUCAACGAGGAAUGCCUAGUAAGCGCAAGUCAUCAACUUGCGUUGAUUACGUCCCUGCCCUUUGUACACACCGCCCGUCGCUACUACCGAUUGAAUGGUUUAGUGAGGCCUUCGGAUCCGCGACUCGUUUUGUGGAGAAGUUGGACAAACUCAGUCAUUUAGAGGAAGUAAAAGUCGUAACA
rnacentral:rRNA from 1 species